AUAUGGUACCCCCGCCUGACUUAAGCAUAUCAAUAAGCGGAGGAAAAGAAACCAACAGGGAUUGCCCCAGUAACGGCGAGUGAAGCGGCAACAGCUCAAAUUUGAAAUCUGGCCCCUCUGGAGCCCGAGUUGUAAUUUGCAGAGGGUGCUUUGGCGUUGGCCCCGGUCUAAGUUCCUUGGAACAGGACGUCGCAGAGGGUGAGAAUCCCGUACGUGGCCACGGGCCUUCGCCUUGUAUAGCCCCUUCGACGAGUCGAGUUGUUUGGGAAUGCAGCUCUAAAUGGGAGGUAAAUUUCUUCUAAAGCUAAAUACUGGCCAGAGACCGAUAGCGCACAAGUAGAGUGAUCGAAAGAUGAAAAGCACUUUGGAAAGAGAGUCAAAAAGCACGUGAAAUUGUUGAAAGGGAAGCGCUUGCAGCCAGACUUGCCUGCGGUUGCUCAGCCAGGCUUCUGCCUGGUGUACUCUUCCGCACGCAGGCCAGCAUCAGUUCGGGCGGUUGGAUAAAGGCUCCGGGAAUGUGGCUCCUCUCGGGGAGUGUUAUAGCCCGGGGCGCAAUGCAGCCAGCCUGGACUGAGGUCCGCGCUUCUGCUAGGAUGCUGGCGUAAUGGCUGUAAGCGGCCCGUCUUGAAACACGGACCAAGGAGUCUAACAUCUAUGCGAGUGUUUGGGUGUCAAUCCCGGGCGCGCAAUGAAAGUGAACGGAGGUGGGAACCCGCAAGGGUGCACCAUCGACCGAUCCUGAUGUCUUCGGAUGGAUUUGAGUAAGAGCAUAGCUGUUGGGACCCGAAAGAUGGUGAACUAUGCCUGAAUAGGGUGAAGCCAGAGGAAACUCUGGUGGAGGCUCGCAGCGGUUCUGACGUGCAAAUCGAUCGUCAAAUUUGGGCAUAGGGGCGAAAGACUAAUCGAACCUAUCUAGUAUGCCCUGGGUUCCUGCCGAGCCUCCUCUCUCUGGAGAGUAUA
rnacentral:rRNA from 1 species